rfam:Parcubacteria bacterium GW2011_GWA2_47_8 TY09_C0050, whole genome shotgun sequence.
GCGAGAGUAGUACAGCGGCAGUACUCUUGCUUCCCAAGCAAGGAACGCGGGUUCGAUUCCCGUCUCUCGCU